GCCAGGCAUGGUGGCACAUGCCUGUAAUCCCAACCUCUCAGGAGGCUGAGGAAAGAGGAUCCUUAGUUCAAAGCCAGCCUCAGCUACUUAUAGAGGCCCUAAGCAACUCAGUGAGACCCUGUCUCUA
rnacentral:sRNA from 1 species